rnacentral:rRNA from 1 species
UUUCCGUGGCCAAGCGUGCGGCCCGGCCCCCGAGCAAAUCUAGGGGCCAUGCGGGCGAGGCGUGAUGGUGGGCACCGUUUGGUGCGAUAUGAAGUGAUCCUGGCGGCCGAGAAAAGUUUCGUCGCGAGGUCCGCGGGCGCCCGUACCCGAAACCGACACUGGUGGUCUGGUAGAGUAUACCGAAGCGAUCGAGUGAAUCCUGGUCAAGGAACUCGGCAAAUUGCUCCCGUGCCUUCGGCAUAAGGGAGACCCCCGGCGGUGAGGGCCUUUGCGGCCGGAGCUGUUGGGGGUGGCACAAGCCAGGGGGUAGCGACUGUUUACCAAAAACACAGGUGCAUGCGAAGACGCAAGUCGCGGUAUAUGCACUGACGCCUGCCCGGUGCCGGAAGGUUAAGAGGAUCCGUCAGCUUCGGCGAAGCGGUGAAUUCAAGCCCCGGUAAACGGCGG